CCUCUCUCUCUCUCUCUCUCUCUCUCUCUCUCCCCUUCUUCCUGGAGCAAAUCGCGUGCAAGCUUUGAUGAUGUUCUUUCCUGAUCCCUUCCCAGUUAAGCAUGGUAAGUGCCUGCGUCUUCUGUUGUCUUCUAGUAUCUCUCCUUUUCAGGGGGAGAGAAAAAAAAAAGGCGGGGGGGACUCUGCCAUGUUCAAAGAAGGCGACAUCUACUGCUUUUUGUAUAGGGUGCUUUGCUUACUCUGUCUUUUUAUCUGGCCUCCAGGUUAUCAUUUUGUGCUGGAUUAUUUUGUGUAUGCAAUGCAUGUGCGGUUUUUCUAAUUUCUCGUGUUAUUGGAUUAGCGUCCUUCCUUUCCUGUUUUUCCUUCCGAUUUCUCCUUUGGGUGCAGUGCAGUUUUUCACUGUGUGCUGAGUUUUUGAGUCCAUUUGUUAUGAUCUGUAAAAAUAAUGAACUAUCAGGUAAGCUGACUGACAAAUAUAAAAAUUUUCUCACUGGACUGUGAGUAAGUAUAACGUUUAUCUCGAAGCUUAAACUUUCAUUUCUCUGUAGAGCUUAAAAGCCCUCUAUGGAUGCAAAAACUAUAUAUACCACUGUUAAUCCAAAAAGAUUCGCAAGGGUUAAGUGCUUCACUGCAUCUGGGAAUAGUAAAUAAAACUAUCAUGUAGGCUAAGUAUCACAAAAAUUCCCUUCCACCUGCACAAUAAGAAGAAUCUCUUGGUAAGUCUCUCCACUUGUCAGCUUUCGUAGUAAAACUUCCAGCUUCUUUAAAAAUUCUGCAGAGAAGAAAAUAAUAGUCAAGCAGCCAACACUGUGACUUUUUUUUAAAAAAACAAAUACAAUAUUUUUAUGCAAUAAAAUUUCGGAAGUGAGGAAUUUACUCUUAAAUGAAAUCUCUCUCAGCCUGAAGGCUCCAUUGUUGUCUCUUCUUUUAUCAUUUCAUUUUCCUUUGGGAAUUUUGCCUUUGCUGGUGUUGGCAAUAUGCAUUCGUAUUCGUCUAUACAGAAGGGGAUGAAAUUGUAACUGAAUUGGAGAACUUACUGUCGAAUCUCUCCAGCCUUAACCCUCUGCUCCAGCUCCAAGUGUCUAAAAAUGAUUUUGCAGAGAAAAGCAACAAUAACAUUGGGCAACAACGUUUUCCUUCAAGCAGUGCUUUGUAAUGAAAUUAUAGAAUUUUUUUUUUGCUAACCCGGGGUGUUCGGGCUUCGCCCGACUAAUUCCCGGGGCUCCGUGAACCCCAGCGGCGCACGGAGUGGAUAAUUACGUCAAAGGCGCCCCGGUGGCUCCAAGGGGAUUCAAACCCGGGUCUCGGUGCAAACUUGGGUGCAUAUUAACCGCUGGGCCAAACCUAAGGGUUAUGAAAUUAAAGAACUUAAGAGCUUACUGAAGAAAAAUUUUGAGAUGAUAGCCUCAACCUUCUAUGCAGACAUUCCAGAAGAGAAUAAUCAUGUAGUGUUUUGGAAUAGAAUAAGAGGAGUGAAGAGUUUACUGGUAAUUCCUUCAGUCUCGAGCCUCAAAGUUGGCUUCUCUAAUUAUUUGUAACUUACUGGUAGUCCUUUGCAGUAGAAUUACAAAAAUGAAGAGCUUGCAUGUAAGGUCCCUUGUCUCUCUCCCUCCCUGUCAUUGCCACGAGGAUAAGCGACAUGCAAUUCUUGAGGAUGAGUGAGCGGAUGAUUUUCUUUUUUUGGUUUUUUUGGGUGUUUUCGUCCUUUCCUUUUUUGUUAUUAUUUAUUAAUAUAAAAAGGAAAAAGAAAGACUGUGAGAGUAUGUAAAUGAGAACACACUCUCUCCCAGGUUGCUCGAAACUUAUAAGAGAAUGGAGAUUCUUUGUAGAGAAUGUAUACAUGAUAGAGAGUAACCGCCAGCGCGCGUAAUGAGAAAUUCGUUUUCCUUA